CCGCCGCCCUCCCGCCGGCCCGGCCCCUCAUCAACAGACCCGCUCUAGCCCCACUGCACCGCUCCUCUCUAUGGUGAGGCCGGCCUCGAGACAGGAUGUCCCGCCUUCCCCCUCCUUUCUGAUUCGCGGAGAGCUUUGCUGGCGUUUCGGGGGCUUAGCCGCGAAUUGGCCGAGUUUCUCCCGUUUCCAGUGUCGAGGGAGAGAGGGGUUGGCGAGCGGUGUUGCCGGCGAAGGAGGCGGGGGGAGGGAGAGGGGAGGAGGGGCGAGGAUUAGCCGGAGCCGAGCGGGCGGCGAUAGAUCGGGCGAGGGGAGAGGAGCUGCCGCCGCCACGGACGGCCGGUUGGGCUGCUCUGCCAGCCUGGAGAGAAGGCUGGAGAAGGAAACAUGUCUUCUGAAUCUUUUUGUCUGGCUGCUCAAACUAGGUUUGACUCCAAAUGGUUGAAGACAGACUUACAGUGGAGAGGGAAGGAGGCUUGGACAGAACGUGAAGAGGAAGACAACAAAAAAGGAAAAAUACAUUGAAUGGCUUGAAAAAAGGAAAAACAAUGGGGAGACUUGGGAAAGGACUUACUGUUCCUCCUGUGUAUUUCUUCACUGUUCAUGCAUUGAAAAAGAAACGGGAGAGUGUUUUUUCCAUCUAUUUCUAUUUUUAAAAGAAAAUUUUUUUUUUAGCAUAGUCUUUAAAAUAAAGCAAAGGUUAAUGCAAGAACA
ensembl:lncRNA